CCCGGUAAACGGCGGCCGUAACUAUAACGGUCCUAAGGUAGCGAAAUUCCUUGUCGGGUAAGUUCCGACCUGCACGAAUGGCGUAAUGAUGGCCAGGCUGUCUCCACCCGAGACUCAGUGAAAUUGAACUCGCUGUGAAGAUGCAGUGUACCCGCGGCAAGACGGAAAGACCCCGUGAACCUUUACUAUAGCUUGACACUGAACAUUGAGCCUUGAUGUGUAGGAUAGGUGGGAGGCUUUGAAGUGUGGACGCCAGUCUGCAUGGAGCCGACCUUGAAAUACCACCCUUUAAUGUUUGAUGUUCUAACGUUGGCCCGUAAUCCGGGUUGCGGACAGUGUCUGGUGGGUAGUUUGACUGGGGCGGUCUCCUCCUAAAGAGUAACGGAGGAGCACGAAGGUUGGCUAAUCCUGGUCGGACAUCAGGAGGUUAGUGCAAUGGCAUAAGCCAGCUUGACUGCGAGCGUGACGGCGCGAGCAGGUGCGAAAGCAGGUCAUAGUGAUCCGGUGGUUCUGAAUGGAAGGGCCAUCGCUCAACGGAUAAAAGGUACUCCGGGGAUAACAGGCUGAUACCGCCCAAGAGUUCAUAUCGACGGCGGUGUUUGGCACCUCGAUGUCGGCUCAUCACAUCCUGGGGCUGAAGUAGGUCCCAAGGGUAUGGCUGUUCGCCAUUUAAAGUGGUACGCGAGCUGGGUUUAGAACGUCGUGAGACAGUUCGGUCCCUAUCUGCCGUGGGCGCUGGAGAACUGAGGGGGGCUGCUCCUAGUACGAGAGGACCGGAGUGGACGCAUCACUGGUGUUCGGGUUGUCAUGCCAAUGGCACUGCCCGGUAGCUAAAUGCGGAAGAGAUAAGUGCUGAAAGCAUCUAAGCACGAAACUUGCCCCGAGAUGAGUUCUCCCUGACUCCUUGAGGGUCCUGAAGGAACGUUGAAGACGACGACGUUGAUAGGCCGGGUGUGUAAGCGCAGCGAUGCGUUGAGCUAACCGGUACUAAUGAACCGUGAGGCUUAACCUUACAACGCCGAAG
rnacentral:rRNA from 1 species